AUAAAUUUUUUAGGUUUUGAUAAUUUAUUUAAAGUUUAUUUUACAUAUAAAUUUUAGUAUUAAUUUUACUUUAUUUUAAUAAUAAUUUAAUUAAUUUGUAGUAAUUAAUAUUAAACAAUUUAAGUAAUUAAGAUUUAGUAAUAUUUAAUAUUAAUAACAAAUUUUGUGCCAGCAGUUGCGGUUAAACAAAAGUUAAAUUUAAAUUUUAUUAGUUAUUAAUAAAUAAUUAAAUUUAAAAUAAAUAAUUUAUUUAUUUUUUAAUAUAAAUAAUAUAAAUUUUAAAUUAUUAAGUGAAAUUUUAAUUUAAUUAAAUAUUAUUUUUAAUUUAUGAUUUAAAAAAUUUUAUAAAAAACUAGGAUUAGAUACCCUAUUAUUAAAAUUUAAAUUAGUAAUACUAAAAUAGUAAGUAAUUAUUUAUUGAAACCUAAAUAAUUUGGCGGUAUUUUAGUUUCUUUAGAGGAAUCUGUUUAAUAAUUGAUAAUCCCCGAAUAAAUUUACUUAAUUUUUUAUUUUGUAUAUCGUUGUUAAAAAAAUAUUUUUUAAUAAUAAUAAUAUUUAAAAAUUUUAAUUAAAAAUUAAAUUAGAUCCAGAUGCCGAUUAUAAUUAAGAAUAUAAUGGAUUACCAUAAAUUUAUUUAUAUGAAUAUUAAUUUGUAAAAUUUAAUUGAAGGUGGAUUUAAAUGUAAUUUUAUUUAGUUUAAUAAAAUGAUUGAAAAUUAAGAUAUGUACAUAUUGCCCGUCGCUUUCAUAUGAAUAAAAGUUGGAAUAAGUCGUAACAAAGUAGAGGUACUGGAAAGUGUUUCUAGAAAGAA
rnacentral:ncRNA from 1 species